GGAAUCUUCGGCAAUGGACGAAAGUCUGACCGAGCAACGCCGCGUGAGUGAAGAAGGUUUUCGGAUCGUAAAACACUGUUGUAAGAGAAGAAUGACAUUGAGAGUAACUGUUCAAUGUGUGACGGUAUCUUACCAGAAAGGAACGGCUAAAUACGUGCCAG
rnacentral:rRNA from 1 species